CGAACCUCUAAUUGCAGGUCUGGGCUGAGCUCCGUGUGAGCAGCAGCAGAGGAGUCCCAGCAGCCCUGCCUCGGCUACUUGAACUGACCAACUGGAGCCAGGCCUCUUGAACCCACCCUCAGCUGUGGUCGUAAAGACAUCUUCCCUGUCUCCUUCCCCUAAACCUAGAAACCUCUAGGACCUCAGACUUGUUCUUCUGUCCACUCACAGGUCGCAGACACAGGUGCUUAGGUGGUAGGAAAUUUAUGCAAGAACUUCUUCCCAUGGGUACGUGAACACACUCCUGAAACUCAUCCCGCUGGUGCUGGGUCUGCAGGAACAACUGCGGCAGGCAGUGCAGAAUGGGGACAUGGAGACCUCCCAUGGCAUCUGUCGCAUCGCCGUGGCCCUGGGCGAGAACCACUCCCGGGCCUUGCUGGACCAAGUAGAGCACUGGCAGAGUUUCCUGGCACUCGUCAACAUGAUUAUGUUCUGCACAGGCAUCCCUGGCCACUAUCCUGUCAAUGAGACCACCAGCUCCCUAACCCUCACCUUCUGGUACACACUGCAGGAUGAUAUUCUAUCCUUUGAGGCAGAGAAGCAGGCUGUAUACCAGCAGGUGUACCGGCCAGUCUACUUCCAGCUGGUGGAUGUGCUUCUGCACAAGGCCCAGUUCCCUUCUGAUGAGGAAUAUGGAUUCUGGUCCUCAGACGAGAAGGAGCAGUUCCGAAUUUACAGGGUGGACAUCUCAGACACGCUCAUGUAUGUCUAUGAGAUGUUGGGGGCCGAACUGCUCAGCAACCUCUAUGACAAGCUGGGUCGUUUGCUCACCAGCUCAGAGGAGCCCUACUCCUGGCAGCACACAGAGGCCCUCCUCUACGGCUUCCAAUCCAUCGCAGAGACCAUUGACGUCAACUAUUCUGAUGUGGUGCCUGGGCUCAUUGGCCUCAUCCCACGGAUCAGCAUCAGCAACGUGCAGCUGGCAGACACUGUCAUGUUCACCAUUG
rnacentral:sRNA from 1 species